rnacentral:rRNA from 1 species
GAUGAACGCUGGCGGCGUGCCUAAUACGUGCAAGUCGAGCGAACAGACGAGGAGCUUGCUCCUUCGACGUUAGCGGCGGACGGGUGAGUAACACGUAGGUAACCUACCUAUAAGACUGGGAUAACUUCGGGAAACCGGAGCUAAUACCGGAUAAUAUUUCGAACCGCAUGGUUCGAUAGUGAAAGAUGGCUUUGCUAUCACUUAUAGAUGGACCUGCGCCGUAUUAGCUAGUUGGUAAGGUAACGGCUUACCAAGGCAACGAUCCGUAGCCGACCUGAGAGGGUGAUCGGCCACACUGGAACUGAGACACGGUCCAGACUCCUACGGGAGGCAGCAGUAGGGAAUCUUCCGCAAUGGGCGAAAGCCUGACGGAGCAACGCCGCGUGAGUGAUGAAGGUCUUCGGAUCGUAAAACUCUGUUAUUAGGGAAGAACAAACGUGUAAGUAACUGUGCACGUCUUGACGGUACCUAAUCAGAAAGCCACGGCUAACUACGUG